GUGUUUUUGGAUUUGUUAGGAUGUUAAAAUAGACGAACGAAAACGACGCUCUCUAGUGGCAACAUCCCCAACCCACCACUUCUCACUCAUUCCAUGUUUUUCCCUCUCUUCUCCUUGCGCCGGUUCUGCAAAAUGAGGUGACUGAGAAUUUGAUGCUUUGAUUUUUGAUCCAUGGUGGCCAUUGACGAGACUGAGUUUCGAAGCAACAUCUUACACGGUGAUUUGAUUGUCUACUGGUAGAAGAAGGUCUACUUAGAGAGGGAGGCUAUUGAGUGAAGAAUUUGGAAGCAUCAGAUCCGAUAGCGCUAGUUUCUUCAUCUUCUGCUGUUAGAGAAAGUUGUGGAAGUUGGCAGCCUUUUGAAUCGUAUGUAUACAUUCAAAUAAUAUUCUUCCCGUGGAUUAGGAUGACGCUCAAAGAGCGAGAGAUAAGAGCUGACUCAGGUACUGAAUUAAUCUUCAGGCAUCUAUUUAAAAAAAAAAAAACUGCUGCUUUGUAGCUGAGCAGGUAUUCACUCCAUUCUUCUUCCAUUUCAUGGCUACUUAACUGGAAGAACUAGCAUUCAAAUCUUAGACUAGACCCCUUCCACCAAUUUUGGGGAGCAGGACGAAACAGCUUCAGCAACUGUUAGAAAGAUAUGGUCCUCGCCAAUCAGAUUAGCAAGAUCGGAUGCAUGGAGUUUGUCAAUCACUACAGGCCCGGGGUUUGCCAAAACUAGCUGUUCAACAACACCGCACAGACUUCUGGCACCCAAAAAAGGCUCUUGUUCUUCUUUCCCUGAGAUUGCAAACAUGGAAGCUCUUCUAAAUCCAAGAAUAGAAACAGGAAAAGAGCUUACGUAAAAAUUUGCACCAAGUAACAAUGCCAAGUGAGAUUCGUACAAUAUACUUGGCUAAUAGAAGAAAACUUAGAAAAGCUAUUCCAAUGACUAUCGUCUGCCAGUUCCACUGCAAAUGGUCAUGAAAGAAGUUAAAAUACAUGAGAUUAGUUUGCAUCAGUGACUCAUUUAUGUGCAAAUAAGCACCA